UUGGCAGUUGAUGGGUUCCUACCUAAGAAGGAAGGGAGGCCUCCAGUGCCUCAAAUGCCCAUCAUGUCCCCAGCAGGUUAUAAGGUCUCUGACAGGGCAAUGUCACAUGACAGACAGCUCUGAGCUAUUUAUUCUCUCUCUGAAAGACAUACAUUGGAAAUAGCUAAAAGUCAAAACAAGCAGCAAAACAAAUAACCCAUGCAGGCCUGCAGUAUCUGCCUUGAUAGAAAAUUAAACUUGGUCUGGGAUUGGGGCAAAGAGUAUUUGGGAAGGUCAGCCCAUGUGUGUAACUCUGGAAAACUGUCUGGAUACUGCCAACUAUUGCUAAAAUGGCCACACAUUUUUCUUAGCCCAGCGUUCGGCUCCUUUGCAGUUCCUCUGCCAAGAGAUGAGCCUGUUUCCCCAUGCAUUAGAUCUGGCUUUAGCUGCUGGAAUAUGGGUAAGUUAGACAUGUGACUGUUUUGAACCUGGGCCUCAAGGAGCACUGCACACUUUCUUUUCCUCUCUCGUGACCACUAAGUGAACAAGCUCCAGAUAGCCAGCUGGAGGUGACAGUCACGUGGCUAAUCAUCCUGCUUCAGAGGCUGACAGCCAUCCAACCACCACAGGUGGUCAUCCCAGAAUAGCUAGGUACCAGGUGACCCCUUGUUUGAUCACAGACAUGCUAGCCUAGCUGAGCAUUUUUGAUGAGCAGACCCACCUUACCCAGCCACAGGAUGUCGAAGAGAAAUGAAUGGUGGUUGUUAAUAGCCGCAAAGUUUGGGAAUCAUAUCCCAGCUCCUCAGGGUUACUGCAAGGAUCAUCCAAGAUGAUGCAGCAUCAUAAACUGGCAGAAAAUGCUAUCUGAUUCCUACCAUGGAGUUAUGGAAGAGACCGCAGAGCUCUCUAAGAGCAUGUGUGAAGCCACAUGACAGGAACUUCACUUCCUAAGCUCCCACUAUCUCAUUUAAUUCUAAAAACCCAUUUUCAGUGUUUUGAGAAUUCCACCCCUGUAUAAGACUAGGGCUGAAAUCCAAGAGUUAUCUGGCCAGGAUUCAUACUAAUAAUAGUGUAGCCAGAUUGAACUUAGUCCUAUGGAAAGCUAAAGGUCACAUCUCUAACUAUUGUCAUUUAAAACCUUUGGUUCAUAUAUUUAAAGACUACCUUUGAGGCCUGCUCACUGAAAGGGAUGAAUGAUAAUGCAAAAGAAAGAUUAACACAUCCUAUUUGUAGAAGACCAAAGAAAAGAAAAGCUAGUGGCUUUACUCUGCUGCUGAGAUAAAACAGACAGUAAGUCCUGUUUACAGAAGUUAUGAGCUGUAAGGCUACUAGGUUCAGGCUGAUCUGUUUCAGAAACAGGCUUGGCUAAUAGCAUAGCUGGCUUGGAGAUGAGGGAGCUGUUUGUGCAUUCACAGACCUAUAGGUUUGUAUAGAUGUGUAUCUCAUGUAGGUGAGGUCUCAGUUCCAUAAUGGCUGAAUGAGGGAAGUAGUUAUAAUCACAGUGUUUGAGUAACAGUCCUGAUGUCUUCCUGGGCAACUCCUGACCUCUUAGCACUUCUGUUUCCUUAUUUUCAGAAUGAAGAUGAAUGAGAUAAUGAAAAUUGAACCACCACAGGAAUAUCAGUUGUUGUUAUUAUUAUAAGAGCAGAACCAUUAUUGAAAUUGAAGAGGCUUUGCGUUAAACAAAGACAUGUAUGGUACUUGGUUCUAGAGCCAAAGCUCCUGGAACAAGGUUCACUGGUUAUCACAGAGAUUUUUGUGGGUGAUUGGAGCUAUUAAUGAACAAUACCAAACAUGACAGAAAAACCCAGUUAACUUUGCUCAAGGUAGCCUGGCAUUUCUUCCUCCACUUGGAAGUAACAAGUUGCUGGCGUGGAUCUAGUUAUGCAGUAAUCCCCUCUUACUAUUCUAUACUCUCUCAUGAUUUUGACUUUUGUCCUCAUAGUUAGUGCCUCAUGGCCUCAAGAUAGCUGCUGCAGUUCCAGUCAAGAGAGGGAAAUGGUAGAACCUCGCAUUUUCUCAGAAACCAACACACGGAUGAUGAGAUAUGUCCUCUUGAGGUAACUCUGAGGAAAGCUGAAGGUGUUGUGAAUCUAAGAAAAUCACAGAAGGGAAUGUCACACUCCUUUCAAUGAAGAAUUCGUGUGAAGACAGACAAGAAAAGCAUCCUUAGUAUGAAAAACUCACUGAAAGAAAAUUCUUGCAGCCUACGGUAUUUGGUGGGCUGGAAGGAACUUCGUCACGGUAGGCCUUAUUAUCCUGUGUCAGGACACAUUCUUUUGUAAGUACAAUGGAAACCAUUGGCCUUGCCCAACUCCCUUCUGCAAAUUCCAUGUGUGCUGAAUUUCCACGGAAUUCCUAUUUAUAACACAACAGAGGUGCUGAAGACCUGUCAGAGCCACGCUCAAAGCUUAACUGAAGCACUCUCGUUUCCUUUCCUCCUGGCCUUUGGUUACUGAAAACAUUUGCUGAAAAUUGCUGUCCCACUCAAGAACUGUCAAAGGUAAUUGUGUUGCACAGAAGUUACCAAGAAGCAUGAAAUAAUAUGGUUACCACCUGGUGACCAAGUUAAUAGAACCUGUCUGAUGAGCCGCCAGUCCUGCCACAUGUGAACACACCAGUUUCUGUCUGAAAGACACGGCAGCAUGAAUUGAUCUUGUUGCUUCUGGAAUCAAACUCAAGGCCUCAUGCAUGCUAGGCAAGUGCCCUUCCCUGAGAUACCUCCCUUGAGAGUGGCAUGGCCCUCCACAUUAUUCAUGGACACACACAGAACAGCUAGCAAACAAGAGCCCUGGGAAAGUGUAUGCUAACACAAGGUCAGCACAUGUUGGAGGUUUUCCUGCUCAGGACAGAUGUGCAACCAAGCUUUGCAGAGGGGACCCAAGACCUCUACAUCGCUAAAGAACAAAAGGAGUGUUGUGGCCUGCCGGAGUAUUGUGUAUAACAUAAACAGAAAUGUUCUGGUACAUUUCUUUGGAACAUCUACAAAGAAAUAGCUGAUGACUAAGAGAAGGGGCAGAAGAUAAACAGCAUCUUCCGACAGAGUGGUGUGAAAAUGUGAUCAUUUGAACCAGGAAUCCUUGGAAGAUUUUUCUUUAAUGCUGUGGAGAGCCUCUGUGAGUGCCUCUUUGGGCUUUGAUUUCCUCCUCUGAAAGAUAAAAGUCUCAAAAUUGGUUGU